GGGAUGCUGGAGGUAUCAGAAGUGCGAAUGCUGACAUAAGUAACGAUAAAGCGGGUGAAAAGCCCGCUCGCCGGAAGACCAAGGGUUCCUGUCCAACGUUAAUCGGGGCAGGGUGAGUCGACCCCUAAGGCGAGGCCGAAAGGCGUAGUCGAUGGGAAACGGGUUAAUAUUCCCGUACUUGGUGUUACUGCGAAGGGGGGACGGAGAAGGCUAUGUUGGCCGGGCGACGGUUGUCCCGGUUUAAGCGUGUAGGUGUGUGUUCCAGGUAAAUCCGGUUCACUUUAACACUGAGGCGUGACGACGAGGCACUACGGUGCUGAAGCAACAAAUGCCCUGCUUCCAGGAAAAGCCUCUAAGCAUCAGGUAACAUCAAAUCGUACCCCAAACCGACACAGGUGGUCAGGUAGAGAAUACCAAGGCGCUUGAGAGAACUCGGGUGAAGGAACUAGGCAAAAUGGUGCCGUAACUUCGGGAGAAGGCACGCUGACACGUAGGUGAAGUGAUUUACUCAUGGAGCUGAAGUCAGUCGAAGAUACCAGCUGGCUGCAACUGUUUAUUAAAAACACAGCACUGUGCAAACACGAAAGUGGACGUAUACGGUGUGACGCCUGCCCGGUGCCGGAAGGUUAAUUGAUGGGGUCAGCGCAAGCGAAGCUCCUGAUCGAAGCCCCGGUAAACGGCGGCCGUAACUAUAACGGUCCUAAGGUAGCGAAAUUCCUUGUCGGGUAAGUUCCGACCUGCACGAAUGGCGUAAUGAUGGCCAGGCUGUCUCCACCCGAGACUCAGUGAAAUUGAACUCGCUGUGAAGAUGCAGUGUACCCGCGGCAAGACGGAAAGACCCCGUGAACCUUUACUAUAGCUUGACACUGAACAUUGAGCCUUGAUGUGUAGGAUAGGUGGGAGGCUUUGAAGUGUGGACGCCAGUCUGCAUGGAGCCGACCUUGAAAUACCACCCUUUAAUGUUUGAUGUUCUAACGUGGACCCGUAAUCCGGGUUGCGGACAGUGUCUGGUGGGUAGUUUGACUGGGGCGGUCUCCUCCUAAAGAGUAACGGAGGAGCACGAAGGUUGGCUAAUCCUGGUCGGACAUCAGGAGGUUAGUGCAAUGGCAUAAGCCAGCUUGACUGCGAGCGUGACGGCGCGAGCAGGUGCGAAAGCAGGUCAUAGUGAUCCGGUGGUUCUGAAUGGAAGGGCCAUCGCUCAACGGAUAAAAGGUACUCCGGGGAUAACAGGCUGAUACCGCCCAAGAGUUCAUAUCGACGGCGGUGUUUGGCACCUCGAUGUCGGCUCAUCACAUCCUGGGGCUGAAGUAGGUCCCAAGGGUAUGGCUGUUCGCCAUUUAAAGUGGUACGCGAGCUGGGUUUAGAACGUCGUGAGACAGUUCGGUCCCUAUCUGCCGUGGGCGCUGGAGAACUGAGGGGGGCUGCUCCUAGUACGAGAGGACCGGAGUGGACGCAUCACUGGUGUUCGGGUUGUCAUGCCAAUGGCACUGCCCGGUAGCUAAAUGCGGAAGAGAUAAGUGCUGAAAGCAUCUAAGCACGAAACUUGCCCCGAGAUGAGUUCUCCCUGAGACUUAGAGUCUCCUGAAGGAACGUUGAA
rnacentral:rRNA from 1 species